rnacentral:rRNA from 1 species
GGGUUUCACCAGAAGUAGGUAGCCUAACCGCAAGGAGGGCGCCGACCACGGUGUGAUUCAUGACUGGGGUGAAGUCGUAACAAGGUAGCAGUAGGUGAACCUGCAGAAGAAUCA